UACGGGGGGGGCAAGCGUUGUUCGGAAUUACUGGGCGUAAAGGGCUCAUAGGCGGCCAACUAAGUCAGACGUGAAAUCCCCAGGCUCAACCUGGGAACUGCGUCUGAUACUGGAUGGCUUGAAUCCGGGAGAGGGAUGCAGAAUUCCAGGUGUAGCGGUGAAAUGCGUAGAUAUCUGGAGGAAUACCGGUGGCGAAGGCGGCAUCCUGGACCGGCAUUGACGCUGAGGAGCGAAAGCUAGGGGAGCAAACGGG
rnacentral:rRNA from 1 species